CCGGCGCACGGGUGAGUAACACGUAUCCAACCUGCCGUCUACUCUUGGACAGCCUUCUGAAAGGAAGAUUAAUACAAGAUGGCAUCAUGAGUCCGCAUGUUCACAUGAUUAAAGGUAUUCCGGUAGACGAUGGGGAUGCGUUCCAUUAGAUAGUAGGCGGGGUAACGGCCCACCCAGUCUUCGAUGGAUAGGGGUUCUGAGAGGAAGGUCCCCCACGUUGGAACUGAGACACGGUCCAA
rnacentral:rRNA from 1 species